rnacentral:rRNA from 1 species
CGGGAGGCAACCAUUAGGGAAUUUUUCCCCAAAGGGACGCAAAUUUUGAAGGAGCCAACGCCCGCGUGAAGGAAGAAAGCCUUUCGGGUCGUAAAACUUUGUUGUUGGAGAAGAAUUGUUCGGCAGAGUAACUGUUGUCGGCGUGACGGUAUCCAACCAGAAAGCCACGGCUAACUACGUGCCAGCAGCCGCGGUAAUACGUAGGUGGCAAGCGUUAUCCGGAUUUAUUGGGCGUAAAGCGAGCGCAGGCGGUUUUUUAAGUCUGAUGUGAAAGCCCUCGGCUUAACCGAGGAAGCGCAUCGGAAACUGGGAAACUUGAGUGCAGAAGAGGACAGUGGAACUCCAUGUGUAGCGGUGAAAUGCGUAGAUAUAUGGAAGAACACCAGUGGCGAAGGCGGCUGUCUGGUCUGUAACUGACGCUGAGGCUCGAAAGCAUGGGUAGCGAACAGGAUUAGAUACCCUGGUAGUCCAUGCCGUAAACGAUGAAUGCUAGGUGUUGGAGGGUUUCCGCCCUUCAGUGCCGCAGCUAACGCAUUAAGCAUUCCGCCUGGGGAGUACGACCGCAAGGUUGAAACUCAAAGGAAUUGACGGGGGCCCGCACAAGCGGUGGAGCAUGUGGUUUAAUUCGAAGCAACGCGAAGAACCUUACCAGGUCUUGACAUCUUUUGAUCACCUGAGAGAUCAGGUUUCCCCUUCGGGGGCAAAAUGACAGGUGGUGCAUGGUUGUCGUCAGCUCGUGUCGUGAGAUGUUGGGUUAAGUCCCGCAACGAGCGCAACCCUUAUGACUAGUUGCCAGCAUUUAGUUGGGCACUCUAGUAAGACUGCCGGUGACAAACCGGAGGAAGGUGGGGAUGACGUCAAAUCAUCAUGCCCCUUAUGACCUGGGCUACACACGUGCUACAAUGGAUGGUACAACGAGUUGCGAGACCGCGAGGUCAAGCUAAUCUCUUAAAGCCAUUCUCAGUUCGGACUGUAGGCUGCAACUCGCCUACACGAAGUCGGAAUCGCUAGUAAUCGCGGAUCAGCACGCCGCGGUGAAUACGUUCCCGGGCCUUGUACACACCGCCCGUCACACCAUGAGAGUUUGUAACACCCGAAGCCGGUGGCGUAACCCUUUAGGGAGCGAGCCGUCUAAGGGACAAAAAUUGGG